rnacentral:rRNA from 1 species
GAUGAACGCUAGCUACAGGCUUAACACAUGCAAGUCGAGGGGAAACGGCAUUAAGUGCUUGCACUGUUUGGACGUCGACCGGCGCACGGGAGAGUAACGCGUAUCCAACAUUCGCAUGAGUAAGGGAUAACAUACCGAAAGGCAGACUAAUAACUUAUGGUAUUCACUGACGGCAUAAGAUGUGAAGGAAAGUGUUAUCGGUUAUGGAUGGCGAUGCGUCUGAUUAGCUUGUUGGCGAGGUAACGGCCUACCAAGGCAACGAUCAGUAGGGGUUCUGAGAGGAAGCUCCCCCACAUUUGAGCCGAGACACAGUCCAAACUCCUACGCGAGGCAGCAGUGAGGACUAUUGGUCAAUGGGCGAGAGCCUGAAACAGCCAAGUAGCGUGCAGGAUUACGGCCCUAUGGGUUCUAAGCUGCUUUUGUAUGGGGAUAAAGUCAAUCACGUGUCAUUGCUUGCAGGUACCAUACGAAUAAGGACCGGCUAAUUCCGUG